UACGUAGGGUGCGAGCGUUGUCCGGAAUUACUGGGCGUAAAGAGCUCGUAGGUGGUUUGUCGCGUUGUUCGUGAAAUCUCACGGCUUAACUGUGAGCGUGCGGGCGAUACGGGCAGACUAGAGUACUGCAGGGGAGACUGGAAUUCCUGGUGUAGCGGUGGAAUGCGCAGAUAUCAGGAGGAACACCGGUGGCGAAGGCGGGUCUCUGGGCAGUAACUGACGCUGAGGAGCGAAAGCGUGGGGGAGCGAAACAGG
rnacentral:rRNA from 1 species